AUCCAGUGAUGAGGGCAAGCCUCCAACAACUUCUUAAAUCUCUCCCAAUAUUCAUACAAAGUUUCCCCCAUCUCGUUGCACAAUACAAGAGAUCUCUCUUCGCAACUU